rnacentral:rRNA from 1 species
AACGAACGCUGGCGGCAUGCCUAACACAUGCAAGUCGAACGAGACCUUCGGGUCUAGUGGCGCACGGGUGCGUAACGCGUGGGAACCUGCCCUUAGGUUCGGAAUAACUCCCCGAAAGGGGUGCUAAUACCGGAUAAUGUCUUCGGACCAAAGAUUUAUCGCCUUUGGAUGGGCCCGCGUGGGAUUAGUUAGUGGGUAGGGUAAAAGCCUACCAAGGCGACGAUCCAUAGCUGGUCUGAGAGGAUGAUCAGCCACACUGGGACUGAGACACGGCCCAGACUCCUACGGGAGGCAGCAGUGGGGAAUAUUGGACAAUGGGCGAAAGCCUGAUCCAGCAAUGCCGCGUGAGUGAUGAAGGCCUUAGGGUUGUAAAGCUCUUUUACCCGGGAUGAUAAUGACAGUACCGGGAGAAUAAGCUCCGGCUAACUCCGUG